rnacentral:rRNA from 1 species
CCUACGGGAGGCAGCAGUGAGGAAUAUUGGUCAAUGGACGAGAGUCUGAACCAGCGAAGUAGCGUGAAGGAUGACUGCCCUCUGGGUUGUAAGCUUUUUUUAUAGAGGAAUAAAACGCGGCACGUGUGCAUUUUUGCAUGUACUUUAUGAAUAAGGAUCGGCUAACUCCGUGCCAGCAGCCGCGGUAAUCCGGAGGUUCCGGGCGUUAUCCGGAUUUAUGGGGUUUAAAGGGAGCGUAGAUGGGUUGUUAAGUCCGUUGUGAAAGUUUGCGGCUCAACCGUAAAAUUGCAAUUGAUACUGGCAGGCUGGAGUACAGUUGAGGUAGGCGGAAUUCGUGGUGUAGCGGUGAAAUGCGUAGAUAUCACGAAGAACCCCGAUGGCGAAGGCAGCUUACUAAACUGUGACUGACAUUGAUGCUCGAAAGUGUGGGUAGCAAACAGGAUUAGAUACCCCAGUAGUC